rnacentral:rRNA from 1 species
GACGAACGCUGGCGGCGUGCUUAACACAUGCAAGUCGAACGAUGAACCCGGAGCUUGCUCCGGUGGAUUAGUGGCGAACGGGUGAGUAACACGUGAGUAACCUGCCCUUGACUCUGGAAUAACUGCGGGAAACUGUAGCUAAUACCGGAUACGACCCUCGGCGGCAUCGCCAGGGGGUGGAAAGAAUUUCGGUCAAGGAUGGACUCGCGGCCUAUCAGCUAGUUGGUGAGGUAGCGGCUCACCAAGGCGACGACGGGUAGCCGGCCUGAGAGGGUGGCCGGCCACACUGGGACUGAGACACGGCCCAGACUCCUACGGGAGGCAGCAGUGGGGAAUAUUGCACAAUGGGCGCAAGCCUGAUGCAGCAACGCCGCGUGAGGGAUGACGGCCUUCGGGUUGUAAACCUCUUUUAGUAGGGAAGAAGCGAAAGUGACGGUACCUGCAGAAAAAGCACCGGCUAACUACGUGCCAGCCGCCGCGGUAA